GCCCUCGUAGUCUAGCCCGGUCAAGGACUUCGCCCUCUCACGGCGAAAACUCGGGUCCAAAUCCCGACGAGGGCA
rnacentral:tRNA from 1 species